rnacentral:rRNA from 1 species
UGGUGGAGUGAUUUGUCGGCUUAAUUGCGAUAACGAACGAGACCUUAACCUGCUAAAUAGCCCGCAUUGCUUUGGCAGUGCGCAGGCUUCUUAGAGGGACUAUCGGCUCAAGCCGAUGGAAGUUUGAGGCAAUAACA